rnacentral:rRNA from 1 species
GACGAACGCUGGCGGCGUGCUUAACACAUGCAAGUCGAACGGAAAGGCCCUGCUUGCGGGGUACUCGAGUGGCGAACGGGUGAGUAACACGUGGGUGAUCUGCCCUGCACUUCGGGAUAAGCCUGGGAAACUGGGUCUAAUACCGGAUAGGAGCCAUUUUUAGUGUGAUGGUUGGAAAGUUUUUUCGGUGUAGGAUGAGCUCGCGGCCUAUCAGCUUGUUGGUGGGGGAAUGGCCUACCAAGGCGGCGGCGGGUAGCCGGCCUGGGGGGGUGGACGGCCACAGUGGGACCGGGGUUCGGCCCAGACCCCUACGGGGGGCAGGCGUGGGGAAUAUUGCACAAUGGGCGCAAGCCGGAUGCAGCGACGCCGCGGGGGGGAUUACGGCCUUCGGGUUGUAAACUCCUUUCGCUAGGUACGAAGCUUUUUGUGACGGUACCUAGAUAAGAAGCACCGGCUAACUACGUG